rnacentral:rRNA from 1 species
GACGAACGCUGGCGGCGUGCCCAACACAUGCAAGUCGAGCGAAGUGCUUUAAGCGGAAUCUUCGGAGGAAGCUUAAAGUAUCUUAGCGGCGGACGGGUGAGUAAUGCGUGAGGAACCUGCCUUUCACAAGGGGAUAGCCUCGGGAAACUGGGAUUAAUACCCUAUGACACCUAAGUAUCGCAUGAUACUUAGGUUAAAGCGCAAAGCGGUGGAAGAUGGCCUCACGUCCCAUUAGCUAGUUGGUGAGGUAAAGGCUCACCAAGGCAACGAUGGGUAGCCGGCCUGAGAGGGUGACCGGCCACACUGGAACUGAGACACGGUCCAGACUCCUACGGGAGGCAGCAGUGGGGAAUAUUGCACAAUGGGCGAAAGCCUGAUGCAGCGACGCCGCGUGAGCGAAGAAGGCCUUCGGGUCGUAAAGCUCUGUCCUAUGGGACGAUAAUGACGGUACCCUAGGAGGAAGACCCCGGCCUAACUACGUGCCAGCAGCCGCGGUAAAGAGUAGUACAC